rnacentral:SRP_RNA from 1 species
ACUGGGCCCGGUGGUGCGUGCCUGUAGUCCCAGGUAUUCGGGAGGCUGAGGCUGGAGGAUCGCUUGAGCCCAGGAAUUCUGGGCUGUAGUGGCUAUGCCAAUCAGGUGUCCACACUAAGUUCAGCAUCAAUAUAGUGACCUCCUGGGAGCAGGGGACCACCAGGUUGCCUAAGUAGGGAUGAACCGGCCCAGGCUGGAAACGGAGCAGGUCAAAACUCCUGUGCUAAUCAGUAGUGGGAUCAUGCCUGUGAAUAGCCACUGCACUCCAGCCUGGGCAACAUAUCAAGAGCCCAUCUCU